UUCAGAGAAAAAAGUGGCAUUCAGCACUCUCUGCAUUAAGAAACAUUCGGUGGAAACCAUUUUUGAUCGGUGGAGAUAAAAUUUUGACACUCAAGUCAAGAUUGAGCAUGGAUAAAACUUCUAUUGAAAACAGAAGGACAAUAAAACGAAAAGUGGGAUAACAGGUACAACCAAAAUGGAAGGGGAAGUGACAUAAAGGAGCACAUGAAACGUUCAAUUUGCAGAGAAAUAACAUGUGUCGUACAAGAGACCUAUGCUAAGUUAUAAGAAAA